rnacentral:rRNA from 1 species
AUGGAACGCUGGCGGCAGGCCUAACACAUGCAAGUCGAGCGGAGCGGCGGACGGGUGAGUAAUACCUAGGAAUCAGCCUGGUAGUGGGGGCUAACGUUCGGAAACGGACGCUAAUAACGCAUACUAUCAGAUGAGCCUAGGGCGGAGUAGCUAGUUGGUGAGGUAAUUGCUCACCAAGGCUAAGAUCCUUCACUGGUCUGAGGGGAUGAUCAGUCAAACUGGAACUGAGACACGGUCCAGACUCCGACGGGAGGCAGCAGUGGGGAAUAUUGGACAAUGGGCGAAAGCCUGAUCCAGCCAUGCCGCGUGUGUGAAGAAGGUCUUCGGAUUGGAAAGCACUUUAAGUUGAGAGGCGUUACUGAAAGACUAAGCACCGGCUAACUCUGUGCCAGCAGCCGCGGUAAUUC